GAUUUGGAUGUAGGAGUGCACUGAUGAGAUCUGUUGCCUCUGGAAUAUUCUCUAUAAGGAAUAAAUCCUUUUGAUCGUUAACUAUAUUUACAUCACGUUCAAAACUAUCCCCAUACGGAUGUUUUCCCCCGGUUAUGCAGAAAAAGAGUACACAGCCUAAACUGAAUAAAUCCACAGCACGUGUCUGCCGUUCAUGACGAAGUUGCUCAGGUGCUUGCCAACCUGAACUCCCAGAGCCAGUGGAAUUUUUGGUUAAUGAAGACAUGUCCCCUGCAAGAUGCUUGCUGAUACCCAUAUCUGAAAGCUUUGCACUUACAGAUCUCUCUUUUACUAUAAGAAUAUUCUGAGGCUUCAAGUCACGGUGUACAAUUCCCAGUUCAUGCAAAUGAGCAAGGCCAUGAACCAUAUCUCUCAUCAAUUUUAACAGGUGAGCUGAAGGAUAUCCACUGGGCUUCCAUAACGGGAAGUCAUCCUUGUCUCCAGAUUUCCAUUGAACUUUUACAGUGCAGUCACUUAAAC
rnacentral:misc_RNA from 1 species